GACGAACGCUGGCGGCGUGCCUAAUACAUGCAAGUCUACGAGAAAGUCAGCUCCGGCUGGCGAGUAAAGUGGCGGACGGGUGAGUAACGCGUAGGUAACCUGCCUUCAGGUUGGGAAUAACUCCGCCAACGCGGGGCUAAUACCAAAUAAUGCAUUAUUUCCGUAUGGAUAUGUUGUUAAAGAGGGGGAUUCGUAUGAACCUCUUGCCUGAAGAUGGGCCUGCGUUCCAUUAGUUAGUUGGUGAGGUAACGGCUCACCAAGACAACGAUGGAUAGCCGACCUUAGAGGGUGAUCGGCCACACUGGGACUGAGAUACGGCCCAGACUCCUACGGGAGGCAGCAGUAGGGAAUAUUGCGCAAUGGCCUAACGGCUGACGCAGCAACGCCGCGUGACUGAUGAAGCUCCAAGGAGUGUAAAGGUCUGUUAGGAGGGAAGAAAAGUUCAGACGUAAAUAAUUUCUGAACCUGACGGUACCUCCAGAGAAAGCUCCGGCCAACUCCGUGCCAGCAGCCGCGGUAAUACGGGGGGAGCUAGCGUUGUCCGGAAUUACUGGGCGUAAAGAGCGCGUAGGCGGGUCUGUAAGUCAGGAGUGAAAUUUGUCGGCUCAACCGACAAACUGCUUCUGAUACUGCGGGCCUUGAGUAAGACAGAGGAAAGCGGAAUUCCUGGUGUAGCGGUGAAAUGUGUAGAUAUCAGGAAGAACACCGGUGGCGAAGGCGGCUUUCUGGGUCUUUACUGACGCUGAGGCGCGAAAGCGUGGGGAGCGAACAGGAUUAGAUACCCUGGUAGCCCACGCCCUAAACGAUGAGCACUAGGUGUUGGAGGAUUUGACCCCUUCAGUGCCGAAGCUAACGCAUUAAGUGCUCCGCCUGGGGAGUACGAUCGCAAGGUUGAAACUCAAAGGAAUUGACGG
rnacentral:rRNA from 1 species